UGAUGUUGGAGAAAAUAGUGCAGAAUAUAGUGUCACAACUACAGGGAAAAUGCAGAUUUAAAAAGUGCAAUGGCCA